UACGUAGGGUGCGAGCGUUGUCCGGAAUUAUUGGGCGUAAAGAGCUUGUAGGCGGUUUGUCGCGUCUGCCGUGAAAAUCCGGGGCUCAACCCCGGACUUGCGGUGGGUACGGGCAGACUAGAGUGUGGUAGGGGAGACUGGAAUUCCUGGUGUAGCGGUGAAAUGCGCAGAUAUCAGGAGGAACACCGGUGGCGAAGGCGGCAUCCUGGACCGGCAUUGACGCUGAGGCGCGAAAGCUAGGGGAGCAAACGGG
rnacentral:rRNA from 1 species